UGGUUCAAGGCUUAAAAAUGCCACCAACUCAAACACAGUGAAUUUUUUGUAAACACUCUCGAUAACUCUGUCUAGUCUAGUUAGGAUUAGAAUAAGUAUAGUUUUUUAGAUUCUAUCGAGUCUGCAUUUAGUCUACAUAUGUUUAGAAGAGUCAUUUCUAUUCAUGUGGGGGAUUGUUAGAUCACUAAAAGGCAUUGGCCUUUAUUAAAUAAUGUUAAUGCAAUGACAUUGGGCUUUUAAGCCCAAAGAUAUGUCAAUUAAAUGAAUAAUGGUUAUGAGAAUUGUCCCACAUCAGCCAGGAGAAGAGUCAUAGCGCUGUUUAUAUAUUGUCAAACACUUGGUGUUGGUUA
rnacentral:lncRNA from 1 species